GACGAACGCUGGCGGCGUGCUUAACACAUGCAAGUCGAACGGAAAGGCCCUGCUUGCAGGGUACUCGAGUGGCGAACGGGUGAGUAACACGUGGGUGAUCUGCCCUGCACUUCGGGAUAAGCCUGGGAAACUGGGUCUAAUACCGGAUAGGAGCCAUUUUUAGUCUGAUGGUUGGAAAGUUUUUUCGGUGUAGGAUGAGCUCGCGGCCUAUCAGCUUGUUGGUGGGGUAAUGGCCUACCAAGGCGGCGACGGGUAGCCGGCCUGAGAGGGUGGACGGCCACAUUGGGACUGAGAUACGGCCCAGACUCCUACGGGAGGCAGCAGUGGGGAAUAUUGCACAAUGGGCGCAAGCCUGAUGCAGCGACGCCGCGUGGGGGAUGACGGCCUUCGGGUUGUAAACUCCUUUCGCUAGGGACGAAGCUUUUUGUGACGGUACCUAGAUAAGAAGCACCGGCUAACUACGUG
rnacentral:rRNA from 1 species